rnacentral:rRNA from 1 species
GGUUAAGCGACUAAGCGUACACGGUGGAUGCCCUGGCAGUCAGAGGCGAUGAAGGACGUGCUAAUCUGCGAUAAGCGCCGGUAAGGUGAUAUGAACCGUUAUAACCGGCGAUUUCCGAAUGGGGAAACCCAGUGUGACUCGUCACACUAUCAUUAACUGAAUCCAUAGGUUAAUGAGGCGAACCGGGGGAACUGAAACAUCUAAGUACCCCGAGGAAAAGAAAUCAACCGAGAUUCCCCCAGUAGCGGCGAGCGAACGGGGAGGAGCCCAGAGCCUGAAUCAGCAUGUGUGUUAGUGGAAGCGUCUGGAAAGGCGCGCGAUACAGGGUGACAGCCCCGUACACAAAAGCGCAUGUGCUGUGAGCUCGAUGAGUAGGGCGGGACACGUGGUAUCCUGUCUGAAUAUGGGGGGACCAUCCUCCAAGGCUAAAUACUCCUGACUGACCGAUAGUGAACCAGUACCGUGAGGGAAAGGCGAAAAGAACCCCGGCGAGGGGAGUGAAAAAGAACCUGAAACCGUGUACGUACAAGCAGUGGGAGCACCCUUCGGGGUGUGACUGCGUACCUUUUGUAUAAUGGGUCAGCGACUUAUAUUCUGUAGCAAGGUUAACCGUAUAGGGGAGCCGUAGGGAAACCGAGUCUUAAUUGGGCGUUAAGUUGCAGGGUAUAGACCCGAAACCCGGUGAUCUAGCCAUGGGCAGGUUGAAGGUUGGGUAACACUAACUGGAGGACCGAACCGACUAAUGUUGAAAAAUUAGCGGAUGACCUGUGGCUGGGGGUGAAAGGCCAAUCAAACCGGGAGAUAGCUGGUUCUCCCCGAAAGCUAUUUAGGUAGCGCCUCGUGAAUUCAUCUCCGGGGGUAGAGCACUGUUUCGGCUAGGGGGCCAUCCCGGCUUACCAACCCGAUGCAAACUGCGAAUACCGGAGAAUGUUAUCACGGGAGACACACGGCGGGUGCUAACGUCCGUCGUGAAGAGGGAAACAACCCAGACCGCCAGCUAAGGUCCCAAAGUCAUAGUUAAGUGGGAAACGAUGUGGGAAGGCCCAGACAGCCAGGAUGUUGGCUUAGAAGCAGCCAUCAUUUAAAGAAAGCGUAAUAGCUCACUGGUCGAGUCGGCCUGCGCGGAAGAUGUAACGGGGCUAAACUAUGCACCGAAGCUGCGGCAGCGACACUAUGUGUUGUUGGGUAGGGGAGCGUUCUGUAAGCCUGUGAAGGUGUGUCGUGAGGCAUGCUGGAGGUAUCAGAAGUGCGAAUGCUGACAUAAGUAACGAUAAAGCGGGUGAAAAGCCCGCUCGCCGGAAGACCAAGGGUUCCUGUCCAACGUUAAUCGGGGCAGGGUGAGUCGACCCCUAAGGCGAGGCCGAAAGGCGUAGUCGAUGGGAAACGGGUUAAUAUUCCCGUACUUGGUGUUACUGCGAAGGGGGGACGGAGAAGGCUAUGUUGGCCGGGCGACGGUUGUCCCGGUUUAAGCGUGUAGGUGUGUGUUCCAGGUAAAUCCGGUUCACUUUAACACUGAGGCGUGACGACGAGGCACUACGGUGCUGAAGCAACAAAUGCCCUGCUUCCAGGAAAAGCCUCUAAGCAUCAGGUAACAUCAAAUCGUACCCCAAACCGACACAGGUGGUCAGGUAGAGAAUACCAAGGCGCUUGAGAGAACUCGGGUGAAGGAACUAGGCAAAAUGGUGCCGUAACUUCGGGAGAAGGCACGCUGACACGUAGGUGAAGUGAUUUACUCAUGGAGCUGAAGUCAGUCGAAGAUACCAGCUGGCUGCAACUGUUUAUUAAAAACACAGCACUGUGCAAACACGAAAGUGGACGUAUACGGUGUGACGCCUGCCCGGUGCCGGAAGGUUAAUUGAUGGGGUCAGCGCAAGCGAAGCUCCUGAUCGAAGCCCCGGUAAACGGCGGCCGUAACUAUAACGGUCCUAAGGUAGCGAAAUUCCUUGUCGGGUAAGUUCCGACCUGCACGAAUGGCGUAAUGAUGGCCAGGCUGUCUCCACCCGAGACUCAGUGAAAUUGAACUCGCUGUGAAGAUGCAGUGUACCCGCGGCAAGACGGAAAGACCCCGUGAACCUUUACUAUAGCUUGACACUGAACAUUGAGCCUUGAUGUGUAGGAUAGGUGGGAGGCUUUGAAGCGUGGACGCCAGUCUGCAUGGAGCCGACCUUGAAAUACCACCCUUUAAUGUUUGAUGUUCUAACGUGGACCCGUGAUCCGGGUUGCGGACAGUGUCUGGUGGGUAGUUUGACUGGGGCGGUCUCCUCCUAAAGAGUAACGGAGGAGCACGAAGGUUGGCUAAUCCUGGUCGGACAUCAGGAGGUUAGUGCAAUGGCAUAAGCCAGCUUGACUGCGAGCGUGACGGCGCGAGCAGGUGCGAAAGCAGGUCAUAGUGAUCCGGUGGUUCUGAAUGGAAGGGCCAUCGCUCAACGGAUAAAAGGUACUCCGGGGAUAACAGGCUGAUACCGCCCAAGAGUUCAUAUCGACGGCGGUGUUUGGCACCUCGAUGUCGGCUCAUCACAUCCUGGGGCUGAAGUAGGUCCCAAGGGUAUGGCUGUUCGCCAUUUAAAGUGGUACGCGAGCUGGGUUUAGAACGUCGUGAGACAGUUCGGUCCCUAUCUGCCGUGGGCGCUGGAGAACUGAGGGGGGCUGCUCCUAGUACGAGAGGACCGGAGUGGACGCAUCACUGGUGUUCGGGUUGUCAUGCCAAUGGCACUGCCCGGUAGCUAAAUGCGGAAGAGAUAAGUGCUGAAAGCAUCUAAGCACGAAACUUGCCCCGAGAUGAGUUCUCCCUGAGACUUAAAGUCUCCUGAAGGAACGUUGAAGACGACGACGUUGAUAGGCCGGGUGUGUAAGCGCAGCGAUGCGUUGAGCUAACCGGUACUAAUGAACCGUGAGGCUUAACCUU